UGGGGAAUCUUGCACAAUGGGCGAAAGCCUGAUGCAGCGACGCCGCGUUCGGGAUGAAGGCCUUCGGGUUGUAAACCGCUUUCAGCAGGGACGAGGCCGCAAGGUGACGGUACCUGCAGAAGAAGCCCCGGCUAACUACGUGCCAGCAGCCGCGGUAAUACGUAGGGGGCAAGCGUUAUCCGGAUUCAUUGGGCGUAAAGCGCGCGUAGGCGGUUUGUUAGGUCAGGAGUUAAAUCUGGGGGCUCAACCCCUAUCCGCUCCUGAUACCGGCAGGCUUGAGUCUGGUAGGGGAAGGCGGAAUUCCAAGUGUAGCGGUGAAAUGCGCAGAUAUUUGGAAGAACACCGGUGGCGAAGGCGGCCUUCUGGGCCACGACUGACGCUGGGGCGCGAAAGCUAGGGGAGCGAACAGG
rnacentral:rRNA from 1 species